rnacentral:rRNA from 1 species
UACGAGGGGGGCAAGCGUUGUUCGGAAUUAUUGGGCGUAAAGGGUGCGUAGGUGGUUCGGCAAGUCUUGUGUGAAAUCUUCAGGCUCAACUUGAAGUCUGCACAAGAAACUGCCGGGCUUGAGUAUGGGAGAGGUGAGUGGAAUUUCCGGUGUAGCGGUGAAAUGCGUAGAUAUCGGAAGGAACACCUGUGGCGAAAGCGGCUCACUGGACCAUUACUGACACUGAGGCACGAAAGCUAAGGG